AGUAAGCAAGAAGAGAGUGGAAUUCUUAGAGGAGAGGUUCAAUUUGUAGAUACUAGGAGGAACUCCUAAAGCGAAGGCAGCUCUCUAAUGCUUGACU
rnacentral:rRNA from 1 species